rnacentral:lncRNA from 1 species
GUGACUUUUGAAUAAAUUUUGUGAAGUUUGUGAGUUUGAGGUUGAACUCAUGACCUAGAUGGACUAUUCGGGCCGGUUAGGGUUUGGUCGAAGUCAGUCCAACUUAGUCUGAGGUCACCAAGUUUGUAGGUUCAUGUUAUGAACCAAUUUUGUGAAUCCGGUUCACCGAGAAGGUGACCAAGUUUGUGACCCGAGCUUGUGACUCAAGCUCAAGUUUGUG